rnacentral:rRNA from 1 species
UAAGGAAUAUUGGUCAAUGGACGCAAGUCUGGACCAGCCAUGCCGCGUGAAGGAUGAAGGUCCUCUGGAUUGUAAACUUCUUUUAUCUGGGACGAAAACGGGAUUUUUAUCUCAAUUGACGGUACCAGAGGAAUAAGCACCGGCUAACUCCGUGCCAGCAGCCGCGGUAAUACGGAGGGUGCGAGCGUUAUCCGGAUUUACUGGGUUUAAAGGGUGCGUAGGUGGGCUUAUAAGUCAGUGGUGAAAUCUCCGAGCUUAACUUGGAAACUGCCGUUGAUACUAUAGGUCUUGAAUUAUCUGGAGGUAAGCGGAAUAUGUCAUGUAGCGGUGAAAUGCUUAGAUAUGACAUAGAACGCCAAUUGCGAAGGCAGCUUACUACAUAUAAAUUGACGCUGAGGCACGAAAGCGUGGGGAUCAAACA